AUUGAACGCUGGCGGCAUGCUUUACACAUGCCAGUCGAACGGCAGCGCGGGCUUCGGCCUGGCGGCGAGUGGCGAACGGGUGAGUAAUACAUCGGAACGUGCCCAGUAGUGGGGGAUAGCUCGGCGAAAGCCGGAUUAAUACCGCAUACGACCUGAGGGUGAAAGCGGGGGAUCUUCGGGCCUCGCGCUAUUGGAGCGGCCGAUGGCAGAUUAGCUAGUUGGUGGGGUAAAGGCCUACCAAGGCGACGAUCUGUAGCUGGUCUGAGAGGACGACCAGCCACACUGGGACUGAGACACGGCCCAGACUCCUACGGGAGGCAGCAGUGGGGAAUUUUGGACAAUGGGCGAAAGCCUGAUCCAGCAAUGCCGCGUGUGUGAUGAAGGCCUUCGGGUUGUAAAGCACUUUUGGCGGGAACGAAAAGGACUGUGCCAAUACCACGGUUCGAUGACGGUACCCGCAGAAUAAGCACCGGCUAACUACGUG
rnacentral:rRNA from 1 species